UGAGGAAUAUUGCGCAAUGGGCGAAAGCCUGAUGCAGCAACGCCGCGUGAGGGACGAAGGCCUUCGGGUCGUAAACCUCUUUUCUGGGGAAAGAGCAAGGACGGUACCUCAGGAAUAAGUCUCGGCUAACUACGUGCCAGCAGCCGCGGUAAAACGUAGGAGGCGAGCGUUAUCCGGAUUUACUGGGCGUAAAGCGCACGCAGGCGGCUUCGUUAGUCGGAUGUGAAAGCUCCUGGCUUAACUAGGAGAGGCCAUUCGAUACUGCGAGGCUUGAGGCAGGGAGAGGGGUGCGGAAUUCCCGGUGUAGUGGUGGAAUGCGUAGAUAUCGGGAGGAACACCUGUGGCGAAAGCGGCACCCUGGCCCUCGCCUGACGCUGAGGUGCGAAAGCGUGGGGAGUAAACAG
rnacentral:rRNA from 1 species